rnacentral:rRNA from 1 species
CCUACGGGAGGCAGCAGUGAGGAAUUUUCUGCAAUGGGCGAAAGCCUGACAGAGCAAUACCGCGUGAGGGAUGAAGACUUACUGAGUUGUAAACCUCGGUGCCUUAAGGAAGAAGAUCUGACGGUACUUAAGGUGGAAAGCAUCGGCUAACUCCGUGCCAGCAGCCGCGGUAAGACGGGGGAUGCAAGUGUUAUCCGGAAUUACUGGGCGUAAAGCGUCUGCAGGUGGUUUUAUAAGUCUGCUGUUAAAUCUUGAGGCUCAACCUCAAAUCUGCAGUGGAAACUAUAAGACUUGAGUAUAGUAGGGGUAGAGGGAAUUUCCAGUGGAGCGGUGAAAUGCGUAGAUAUUGGAAAGAACACCGAUGGCGAAGGCACUCUACUGGGCUAUUACUGACACUCAGAGACGAAAGCUAGGGGAGCAAAUGGGAUUAGAUACCCCAGUAGUCCUAGCCGUAAACGAUGGAUACUCGAUGUUGGACGUAUCGACCCGUUCAGUAUCUUAGCUAACGCGUUAAGUAUCCCGCCUGGGGAGUACGCUCGCAAGAGUGAAACUCAAAGGAAUUGACGGCUGAGACGNGCGAGCGACACGAGGGAGAG